rnacentral:rRNA from 1 species
UACGUAGGGGGCGAGCGUUGUCCGGAAUCAUUGGGCGUAAAGCGCGUGUAGGCGGCCAGGUAGGUCCGCUGUGAAAACUCGAGGCUCAACCUCGAGAUGUCGGCGGAAACCAUCUGGCUAGAGUCCGGAAGAGGAGAGUGGAAUUCCUGGUGUAGCGGUGAAAUGCGCAGAUAUCAGGAAGAACACCCGUGGCGAAGGCGGCUCUCUGGGACGGUACUGACGCUGAGACGCGAAAGCGUGGGGAGCGAACAGG